rnacentral:misc_RNA from 1 species
UCCGCUUUACAGCGGCAGUUUGGUCCGAGUUCCCGACAUUACUCGCUGGCAACAGACCAUGAGGGUUGCGCUCGUUGCGGGACUUAACCCAACAUUUCACAACACGAGCUGACGACAGCCAUGCACCACCUGUGCACCACCCUCGAAGGCUGAUGAAUUUCUCCACCGUGCAGGUGCAUGUCAAGUCCUGGUAAGGUUCUUCGCGUUGCAUCGAAUUAAGCCACAUGCUCCACCGCUUGUGCGGGCCCCCGCCAAUUCCUUUGAGUUUCAACCUUGCGGCCGUAGUUCCCAGGCGGCUCACUUAAUGCGUUAGCUGCGGCACCGAGGCAAAGCCCCAACACCUAGUGAGCAUCGUUUAUGGCUAAGACUAC